UCGUAAAAAAAAUCAAUUUCUGCUGGUUAAAAUGGUGUAUAAAUUGUUAAAAUUGAGUAGAAAUUGACGAUCGCAUCGUGAUUCGAGAGUGCGGGGUCAUCAAGGCCACGCGGUUGAGAUUUUUUUUCCAUACGACGCCAUCUUGAAAAAUUCCAAAAUUGUUUACUCGCUGUAGUUGAAUCGAUAAAUAUAUCGAUUUAAUUGUUCGAAACAGAAACCAACUAUGCAGUGUGACGGAGACAUACACCCUGGUCCGUUCUGUCAAGAAUACAACGUUAAGAUUUCAUUCAUGGCUGUGCAAAGCUGAAGAGUGUCCUCCGGAACUGUCAAAUGUAGACAUUAAAAAUGGACUUGUUUUGGAGCUUGUGCAUUUUGCAUCACACCAAAAGUUGAAUGCAUGAACCCGGGGCGCCAGAGGUUCUUCAAGGAUUACAUUGAACUCAAUGAACUGUAUAACAAAUACAAAGAGUGUUUUUUCACAUAAAUGUGCUGUUGCAUUUAAACAAUAAAUUCAGCUGCUACUAUAGAUGAAUGAAUUCACAGAUUGACAACCCCUUAUUUUUUAAGCAAGUGUUACAUAUAUUACACAAUGAAAUUCGUUCAAGUUGUAUUGCAGGGCUUACAUUGUUGCAGCUGAUGUUCAUAUCUUUAUUACACUUAAGAUUAAUGUAUCUAUCAUAUAACAUGUGUUAUUGAAUUAUUGAUAUAUUGUUUGAAUAUACCAUAGCAUGUUUGAUUAUGCAAAAAAACUGAACAAAACUAUAAUACAUAUAAAAAAAGAUCUUGAAUAAAGUUGGUAAACAUA